GGACGGCGAGCUCCGCCUCUGGGAUCUAGCCACCGGCGCCACCACCCGCCGCUUUGUUGGCCACACGAAGGACGUCCUCUCGGUUGCCUUCUCCAUUGACAACCGCCAGAUCGUCUCCGCCUCCCGCGACCGCACCAUCAAGCUCUGGAACACCCUCGGCGAAUGUAAGUACACCAUCCAGGAUGGGGAUGCUCACACCAACUGGGUCUCUUGCGUCCGCUUCAGCCCCAACGCCUUUGCCCCCACCAUCGUCUCCGGCUCUUGGGACCGCACCGUCAAGGUGUGGAACCUCUCCAACUGCAAGCUGCGCAGCACCCUGGCUGGCCAUGGCGGCUAUGUUAACACUGUCGCCGUCAGCCCUGAUGGUUCACUGUGUGCUAGCGGCGGUAAGGAUGGGGUGACCUUGCUAUGGGAUCUGGCGGAGGGGAAGCGGCUCUACUCACUUGAUG
rnacentral:misc_RNA from 1 species